AUGAUCCCAGACCACAAGGCCCGGGGAUUGCACCAGAACAGUCCUGCCUGCGUGUCAGCACCGUGUGGAAGCAGCAGCUUGGGUGAGAGUGGCUGCGAGGCAUCCUACAGACUUCAGGAUUUAGAUAGACCUGGCUGGGGUGUACGCCCAGCUCUGUUAUUCUCUAACCUCCUCCUCAACGCCUUCGAGACCUGACAAUGAUGGACGGUAGCCACUCGAGUUUCUGCAAGGCCCCACUGGCCUGGUGGAUGUUCCAAAGGCUUUCAACUGCCACUCACUCUGUGCUGGAAAUGCCGCAGCCUCAUGCUGAAGAAACAGAUGCUCGGAGAAGUCAAGGCACUUGUCAAAGAUCACAAACCGACUACUAGCUGGAAGGAAGUGGGUCUUACUGAAGGCCUUAUGUGCUGAAUGAGUGUUGGAUGUCAGGCUCUGAUGCUUCUGAAAGGACAAGUCACUGUCCCAUUUGAGCCAUGUUUACUCAGUCCCAGGAGUGAAGCUGGUCAAAUAACAGAAUCAGAUGGAGAUGCCUCUUGUCAACUCUAGAGGACUUUGCGGAGGUGCUGGUGAUGGAACUCAAGGCCAUAUACAGCCUAGACAAGUAUGGUACAGGAGAAGUGGCUCAGAGGUUAAGAGCACUGCCUGCUCUUCCAAAGGUCCCGAGUUCAAUUCCAAGCAACCACAUGGUGCCUCACAACCAUCUGUAAUUAGA